rnacentral:RNase_MRP_RNA from 2 species
GUCCAUGUUGCAAGAAUCAUCUGUCGAGACAUACACAAGGGGCUCUUGCCCACACCUUUGGUCUUGGGGAAAGUCUCCGGCACGUUCUUUCAGGCGGCAACGUCAGAUGGAUCACCACAAAUCCAUUUCCACACUGGAACCGGUCGACACCAGCACGGAGGCUUCUUAGGUCUCAUAGUUUGUUUCUGCCAGCAUGGUGACUGUUGCGGCUGCCCCAUACCUGGGCCCUUGCAUUCAGUUGGACCGUUGGCUGCCGCCUCUGGUGGGAAAUAAGGGCUGUGAAACUGUGUUGUCCUGUGUGCACCGUCGGCCCGGUUCUGUUGGACUGUCGGGGGACAUUGCUACCUCGGUGCAUGUCCCCUUGUUUGAAAUCACUCUUUCUUCGAAUGGGUGUAUUCUGCAAAGCGCCAUGUGGCGCUAACGAUGGAUAUGAUGAUUGUCGUUGACACGCAAGUGUCGACGAUAACCCAAUGGAGCUCACUUGUAGCAUGGA